UAAACUCGGAAGUAUUAUAGA
rnacentral:piRNA from 1 species